UCAUACCUCAUUUUGUUGUCACUCGAGACUUGUAUAAUAUAAAGAGAACCUCAAAAUUUCUUUUACUAUUUUCGUCUGCAUACACAAUGGACAAGAGGUUGAAGUAGACGCUGAAGGCAGGUUUCAUACAUCUGGUUUUUGAGGAUACCUAUGGUGGUGACGAGGGGGCAUAGCUACUUUAAGGACAAUGAUGAAGCCAGGAUCAUAGUGAAGAGGAUGAAAAUCUGGGAAAAAACGGUAUAUAUAAAGGAACUAUGUGGAACAUGCCUGUUGGUUUCUGAGCAUUGUGUCUCAUUUAUCAAAAUUGUUCUGUUUGGUGUCAAAUACACAUCUUAUUAAUCCAAAACAAAUUGAUGUUAAUUAUUCGCUUCUCUGUAUCAUUACACUGUUUGAGUUAUAUAAACUAAUGUACUUUUUUACAUA